UGGGAUCUCUCAUCGUUCUUGCUAUCUUCAUAAGCUCAGCGUGGUUUGUCCUAUGGAAGCUGCUUCUAUCAAAAAUGCCUGUUUUUAGGGCCAUGUUUGGUUUGGACAGAGAAGAAACUGUAGCUGAUCAGGCAGCUGUUCCACCUAUAACAGGGAAAGCAAGGAACAGAAAAGUUGAUUAACAUGUUUUAAAUAUAAAGUGCUUCCUUAUUAUAUUGCAAUCAUUGAGUGUACUGGCGGUUUUUUCACUAUUUUUACUUGGCAUAGAUCUGCGCUGGUUGUAAGAAAAUGUGCUUGAAAAUGUUAGAUUUCGUAAAAGUGUUAUUAAUUCAUCAUAACAGGCAUAAAUUACCAACAUUAAAAUUUGUUUUUCAGAUAAUGACAUACAGUUAAUCAUACUUCA